AUGGGAUCCCUGGGGUGGGAUCAGUGGGGCGGGAUCAGGGGUGGGAUCACUGGGACGGGAUCAGUGGGGCGGGACGGGCACAGCUGUGUGUCAGGCCGGUGCCUUUGGACGCGCAGUGAGGACGAGCGCUGGGGACAGGCGGUACUGCAGCUGCAAUCCGCUGGAAUCCCGGUGUUUUUCCUGGUCCAGCUCCAUCAGUGAUGCGGUGAGGGAGCCGCUCUCCCAGCAGAGCUGUCCCAGGGAUGCGUUUCCAGGGAGCAUUUCCUGGAUUUAGUGCCAGAGAGCCCUGUAAGAGUCACCGCCCCAGUCCCAGGUGCUGCAAACCUCCCUCCAGCAGGGAAGGAGCAGGUCCCAGCCAUGAACCUUUCUGUGCUGGGACAACACAACUGCCACAGCCUUCCAGCCUCCACCAUGUCCCCAAGGAGUGUUCAGAGUCCAGCUGCACCUCCUGGUCACAUGCAAUGUGUUGGACCUGUCUUCAGUACCCUUCAGAUGGGUGUUUGUGGAGAUUUCUUUUCUGUUCCCUGUUUUCUUGGGGGCAUCCAUUCCCCCAAGAGUGAAAUGCUCUUGGACAGUGGAGUCCAACAAGUCCCAGUUCCUCAGGGCUGGGGGUGAACUCAGAACUCAUCACCCAGGGAAAUGAAGUUGCUGAGCGGGAGGAAACAGGUUGGGAUGAGGAUUUGUAAACAUGUCUAAGGCUAAGAAGGGGAUUUAAAUUUGGAAGAGAGGGAAGUAAAAGUCAUCAGCUCACUGGGCAUUGGCAUCUGCCUGUCUAAGCUCUCAGUAAUGUUACUCAUCACACAUUGCAGUACCCACUCAUUUCCUUGGUGGGGAGACAGAGAAUUGAAGUUCCUAAAGCAGGAAAAAAAAUUUAAAAAGAAGAAAAGAAAAAAAAUCAUAACCUCCCAGUUCAGCCUGGGAUGGCUGCCCCUGAGGUGACUGCCCUGGGAAUGUGCUGUCCCUGGAGGUUGUUAUUCAGUGCCUCUGGCUCAUUCCUAGUAAAACUGCCACUGCAUCCCAUGCCAGGGUGUGCAGAGAGUCCAGAAAUCCCCGUGGGUUGCCCCCAUGUCCUCAGAGGGUCACUGCAGAGGGACAGUCUGGGGACAGUGCUGGGAGCAGAGCCAGCUGCUCCCUGUCCUUGCAGUAGCUGUCCUGCCAUGGGAGGGAUGCUCUGGACGUCCAAGUCCAUCCCCUCUGCAUGGUGCAAGGGAAAAGGAGUCAGGGGUACAUGAGGAAAGCAGAACUGCCUUGAACCUCCAUUGCUGCCCCAUGCAGGAGUGAGAGGGGACCCACAAACAGGGGAGGCCUGGCAGGGGACAUUGGUGCUGGCAGGAAAAUGGGUCUGUGUUUGCUUUCCUGCCAUUAACUUUUGGCCAUGCAGACAUCCUGACUGGGGGCCAGGUUCCCUGUGCCAGGCCAGGACACUGCCAAACACCACCUCCAUGGCUGUCCCAUGCUGUCCCCUGUCUGCUGCCACUGUGGGGACUCUGUGGCCAAAAGUUCAGUCUCAAAAGUUCACUCUCUCUGCUGGGAACAGAGGAGAGCUGGGAGAAAUAGGCAGAGAGACAAAGCACUGACCAAAGAGGUCUCUGUGGGCUGCAGGACUCUGCUGUUUGCCCCUGGGGGGGUUGGGCUGGGUGUGAUGAGCCCCCAGCCCCUUCCCUGUGGGGACAGAAUGGGACAGGCUGUGCCAUAAUGCCAGUCUGGGCACCUGAUGGGAUGACCCCAGCCCUGGACCUGCUCUGUCCUGCUGUCCCCUCAGGGCCACUGGGAUCUUUAACCCAUGUCCAUUCACCCCACGGGGUAUGUCACAGACCAGCCACCCCAGGGAGCUUCCAUGGAGUCAGUCCCAAAGCUGCUGUGAGUGGCACUAGUGUCACCUUGAUUUUUUAAAUUUUUCUAAGCCUUCUGAUGUUUACAUUCUUGUAAUGAAUUGUCUCACACACUUUCUGUAAAUAACUCAUUGUUUUGUAUUCUUUUAUGGAAGAAGAGGAAUUUGAUAUACUGUUGGUUUGUCCAGUGUCAUUGGAGAGGUGGCACUGUCACCCUCCAAUCCACUGUCACUUUUGGAAAACUAUAAAUGUUGGAGUGAGAAAAUAAACUUCCCUUUUUUCACCUUGAGAGCA
ensembl:lncRNA